UAUAUUGUACAAGACAACAGCAAUAAUUUAGAGCUGAACCAAUCAACACAGGCCUGUUUCCAUAGACGCCUAGAAGCUGAACUAAUCAACAAAACAAAAGCUUAUUUAUGCUUUGGUAGUGACUUCUAUAAAUCAGGCUAUUGUAAAUUAGAGCGGUAGUCGGAGUGGUAGUCGAAGCGAAAAUUGGAGCGGUAGUCGGCAGUCGGCAGUGGGUUGAUUCACAGUGCUGGUUGUCGACUGAGAGUGAGUUGAGA
rnacentral:lncRNA from 1 species